UACGUAGGGUGCAAGCGUUGUCCGGAAUUAUUGGGCGUAAAGAGCUCGUAGGCGGUCUGUCGCGUCUGCUGUGAAAACUCAGGGCUUAACCCUGAGCUUGCAGUGGGUACGGGCAGACUAGAGUGCGGUAGGGGAGACUGGAAUUCCUGGUGAUAGCGGUGAAAUGACGCAGAGUAUCAGGAGGAACACCGGUGGCGAAGGCGGGUCUCUGGGCCGUAACUGACGCUGGAGGAAGCGAAAGCAUCGGGGAGCGAAACAGGAUU
rnacentral:rRNA from 1 species